AGAAAUGGGAAAGAGGAAGAUGCUCCAAGGCUCCCUCAAGCUUGCUCUCCAACUUCUCCUUCUUCUUCUCCUUCUUCUCCUUCUUGUUCUCUCUCUAGAAGUGUAAGGAGGGUGAAAAUGAGGGUGAGAAGGAGAGGAAAGGCUCUAUAAGCCUUCAAAUGUAACAAAAUCCACCUAGGUCCCUCUAAAAUGCAACCUGUGCACUGCCCGGUCUGGGCAGUUUUCGUGCUGAGGGACCGGUCUCCCCGACACCUGGGACCGAUCUCUCAGCCUGCCCCGCAAAACCAACGUUCGGGAACCGGUCUCUCCCCGCCAGGGACCGGUCUCUCGGACCCUUCUCGCAAAACACGCGUUCGGGAACCGGUCUCUCCCAGCCAGAGACCGGUUGCCUCAAGCUGGCCGCGACACUGUUCAGAUGGAACCGGUCUCUCCUAGCCAGGGACCGGUCCCCGAGAGUGAAAACUCCAGGACUUAGCCAAAUUUCAGAAAUCGAACUUUUAGGUCGGAAU
rnacentral:lncRNA from 1 species